rnacentral:rRNA from 1 species
GACGAACGCUGGCGGCGUGCCUAAUACAUGCAAGUCGAGCGGAUCUAAAGGAGCUUGCUCCUUUAGAUUAGCGGCGGACGGGUGAGUAACACGUGGGCAACCUGCCCUGCAGAUUGGGAUAACUCCGGGGAAACCGGGGCUAAUACCGAAUAAUAUCGAAGAUUUCAUGAUCUUCUUUUGAAAGACGGCUUACGCUGUCACUGCAGGAUGGGCCCGCGGCGCAUUAGCUAGNGGUGAGGUAACGGCUCACCAAGGCGACGAUGCGUAGCCGACCUGAGAGGGUGAUCGGCCACACUGGGACUGAGACACGGCCCAGACUCCUACGGGAGGCAGCAGUAGGGAAUCUUCCGCAAUGGACGAAAGUCUGACGGAGCAACGCCGCGUGAGUGAUGAAGGUUUUCGGAUCGUAAAACUCUGUUGUCAGGGAAGAUCGUGACGGUACCCGGCGAAUAAGCCACGGCUAACUACGUGCCAGCAGCCGCAGU